rnacentral:rRNA from 1 species
CCUGAGAAACGGCUACCACUUCUAAGGAAGGCAGCAGGCACGCAAAUUACCCAAUGAUCGCAGAUCGAGGUAGUGACGAAAAAUAACGAAGCCGGACUCAUCCGAGGCCCGGUUAUCGGAAUGAGUACACUUUAAAUCCUUUAACGAGGAACAAUUGGAGGGCGAGUCUGGUGCCAGCAGCCGCGGUAAUUCCAGCUCCUAUAGCGUAUAUUAAAGUUGUUGCGGUCAAAAGCUCGUAGUUGGAUUUCGGUGAGUAAGGAGGGGUUCAUCUUGUUUGAUGUAACUUCUGUCUUGUCUCGCGAUUUUUCGGCAGAGGUUUCAAUGGUGCCCUUCACCGGGUGUCUUGGGAUACUGUCGGGUUUACUUUGAAAAAAUUAGAGUGCUCAAAGCAGGCUGUUAAAAGCUUGAAUAUUCGUGCAUGGAAUAAUGAAAUAGGAAGUCGUUUCUAUUUUGUUGGUUUUCGGAAAUCGACUUAAUGAUAAAUAGGGACAGUCGGGGGCAUUAGUAUUCAGACGACAGAGGUGAAAUUCUUGGACCGUCUGAAGACUAACUACUGCGAAAGCAUUUGCCAAGAAUGUUUUCAUUAAUCAAGAACGAAAGUUAGAGGUUCGAAGGCGAUCAGAUACCGCCCUAGUUCUAACCAUAAACGAUGCUAGCUAGCGAUCCGCAGUUGUUUAUUAUUACGACUCUGCGGGAAGCUUCCGGGAAACCAAAGCGUUUGAGUUCCGGGGGAAGUAUGGUUGCAAAGCUGAAACUUAAAAGAAUUGACGGAAGGGCACCACCAGGAGUGGAGCCUGCGGCUUAAUUUGACUCAACACGGGAAAUCUCACCAGGCCCGGACACUGGAAGGAUUGACAGAUUGAGAGCUCUUUCUCGAUUCGGUGGGUGGUGGUGCAUGGCCGUUCUUAGUUGGUGGAGUGAUUUGUCUGGUUAAUUCCGAUAACGAACGAGACUCUGUCCUGCUAAAUAGUUUCAAUGUCAUUUUUUUUACGUUGAAAUUUCUUCUUAGAGGGACUGGUAGCGUCUAGCUACACGAGAUUGAGCAAUAACAGGUCUGUGAUGCCCUUAGAUGUUCUGGGCUGCACGCGCGCUACACUGAAGGGAUCAGCGUGUUUUCCCUGACCGAGAGGUUCGGGUAACCCGUUGAACCCCCUUCGUGGUAGGGAUCGGGGCUUGCAAUUAUUCCCCGUGAACCAGGAAUUCCCAGUAAGCGUAAGUCAUAAGCUUGCGUUGAUUACGUCCCUGCCCUUUGUACACACCGCCCGUCGCUACUACCGAUUGAACGUCUUAGUGAGGUAUUUGGAUCGAACCUCUGGAGGGCAACCUCUCAGUGCUGUUCGAGA